GGCCCGGUAGCUCAGCAGGAUAGAGCAGCGGUUUCCUAAACCGAAGGUCAGGGGUUCGAGUCCCUUCCGGGCCGCCA
rnacentral:tRNA from 1 species